ACGGCUCAGUAACACGUGGAUAACAUGCCCUAAGGUGGGGGAUAAUCUCGGGAAACUGAGGAUAAUACCCCAUAGGUCUGAUCUGCUGGAAUGCUUUCAGGCCGAAAACUCCGGUGCCUUAGGAUUGGUCUGCGGUCUAUCAGGCUGUAGUGGGUGUAACGGACCCACUAGCCCGUGACGGAUAUGGGCCUUGAGAGAGGGAGCCCAGAGAUGGACUCUGAGACAUGAGUCCAGGCCCUACGGGGCGCAGCAGUCGCGAAAACUUCGCAAUGGGGGCAACCCCGACGAGGGAAUUCCAAGUGCCAGCACUUUGUGUUGGCUGUUCUCCUGUCUAAAAAACAGGAGGAGUAAGGGGCGGGUAAGACGGGUGCCAGCCGCCGCGGUAAUACCCGCGCCCCUAGUGGUGGUCGAUAUUAUUGAGCCUAAAACGUCCGUAGCCGGUCUUUUAGAUCCUUGGGUAAAUCGGACAGCUUAACUGUCCGAAGUCCGGGGAGACUGGAAGACUUGGGACCGGGAGAGGUCAGAGGUACUUCUGGGGUAGGGGUAAAAUCCUGUAAUCCUGGAAGGACCACCGGUGGCGAAGGCGUCUGACUAGAACGGAUCCGACGGUGAGGGACGAAGCCCUGGGGCGCAAACGGGAUUAGAUACCCCGGUAGUCCAGGGUGUAAACGCUGCGGGCUUGGUGUUGGGGGUCCUUAGUGGGCGCCCAGUGCCGGAGAGAAGUUGUUAAGCCUGCUGCUUGGGGAGUAUGUCCGCAAGGAUGAAACUUAAAGGAAUUGGCGGGGGAGCAC
rnacentral:rRNA from 1 species